rnacentral:misc_RNA from 1 species
GAUGAAGAACGUAGUGAAAUGCGAUAAGUAGUGUGAAUUGCAGAAUUCAGUGAAUCAUCGAAUCUUUGAACGCACAUUGCGCCCUUUGGUAUUCCUUAGGGCAUGCCUGUUCGAGCGUCAUUUAAACCUUCAAGCUCAACUUGGUGAUGGGCGACUGUCCCCCCCCCCUCGCGGGGGGGACUCGCCUCAAAAACAUUGGCGGCCGGUACAUUGGCUUCGAGCGCAGCAGAAACGCGGUCUCGAGCCCGGUGGAUCGGCUCCCAUAAGCCUAUUCUUUUAUUUUGACCUCGGAUCAGGUAGGGAUACCCGCUGAACUUAAGCAUAUCAAUAAGCGGAGGA